CCGCAGUCCCCAUGGAGCCCCGAGCCGCGCGGCCUUUGUUCUCUCACCAGCUGCCCUUUACAUCACCCCACAGAAACCCCGCUUAUUUACUAACCUGGGGUUUUCGGGGAAGUCGAGAUUUAAAUUAAGCCUGACAUCCUAUUAAAAAUUGCUGCGCGGGCCUCUGGCCGGGGUAGGCUGACUGCGAACAAUAUAUUGACUUGCUAGUAUCUUCAGGAAAGAAAUCAUUUAUUAGAGGCCACAGCAGCAAACUGCAAAGACCUUAGCAAAAGGGAUGGCUGUUGUAAUCUUGUAAUUGUUUAGCUGUCGGAAACUGUUUUAGACAUCGGCUUUAUUCUUCAGCUCUAGCUUUUCUGUAUCACUGGUUUCUAACUAGAAGCAUUGACCACAAACAACAAGAAACGAAGUCUUGCAUUUGAGGGUCUCACCAGGCCCACAGCCUGGAGUCCCUCAAGUUUGCUGUCCGUGUCCAGCAAGUAAUUGAUUAGUUGGACAAACAUAAGGCUGUGUCUUCUCUUGAGCCAGACAGUAUGGAGAAGGAUUUUCAUACCUGCAAGCACUGUCACUCCAAUCUUUCCUCUGUGAUGUACUGCUGGAUGGAUCAGAUCUGAACCUCUAUCCUCUGGUCCAAAUGUCCAUGUUUACAAUCCUCGGUAGCAUAAUACAGUAACAGCUCAUCAUGCACUACCAGAGAGCAGUUAUAAAUAAGAAUGUUUUCUCAGAAAUAUGACAAUAUUUCUUGAAAUUUAUACAUUGCAGCCAUUUUAAAAAGAAAGCUUAAACACUAUGUAUCCAUUACUCUGCAUGAAUUAAUGGAAGCGUAAUUUAGACUUCUGAUAAUGUUAAUGUGGAAUUGCUGUUAGAUGUUUCUGAUAGCAUUUUAUGCCCAUGGAAAAAACCUAGUCUUUCUUUCUACUGACUGCCUUCCAGACUGCCACCUUUGUCUGUGUUUCCAAUUCUUAACAGUUAAUACUUUAAUAGCUUUACUUUUGUACCAGCCUCCCCCCAACACCAGAUAUUCAGAGAAUAAGAAUUUUUAGAGCUAGUAGGAUAUUGGAGCCCCUACGGUCUUUGACUGCCACCUAGGGCAGAACUUUUGGUUACCAAGGAAACUGAAUAAUCCUAUGUUGUUUCAAGUACUAAGUCAAAAUUUUUCUCUGUGCAUCUGGAGGAACAGGUACUGAGACUUGCCACAGCUGCUGUUACCGAGAUAUGAAUCUUUUAAACAUAUUUAUAGCUUAUUUUGAUAUUUAUUGUUGAUUUGGAACCAGACCCAAGGAAGGAAAAACUAAUGCACCCAGGUUUUGCCCCAUGCACAUCAAUGGCUGAUGCCACAGUGUUUAGAAUUGUUUCCCUCUCAGGUUCCUGUGCCUUGUGAGUCACUGCUGGAGUCAAUCAUAGGUGAUCUUGGGCAGUUAGGAGAGGUGUGAUAAAACCCAAAUCCAAGGUUAGGAAACCACGAUGUGAACAAAAGUGGGUCCAAAUUCACUUGAUGUUCCAAAGUGAAAACUGGGAGGUUGGACACUGCUUUUUUUGGAACAUAGGAUGUGAAGUAGAAAGGCAGUACCCAAGAAGCGAGCUUUCUAAUUGGGACAUUGACACAAAUUAAUAUCUAGAGCAUAAGGGUAAGAGCUAUUCUAAUAGUAUGGGUAGGAGAGUUUUUCUUUUCAUAUAUGUAUUUGAGCAGCCCUGAGAAUAUGCAGGGAAAUACAGCCCUCCUUAGCUUAACAAACAGUAAGAUUCCAGCUGCCCUGCAAGACAUUUAUGGGAUCAUCCUGACAAUGAACAUCAUGUGAUGGGAAGAGAUGGAGCACUGGUUCUUUCAGGCUACAUUCUUCUACUAACUAGUACCUGUAUGAGUUACUUUUCUGUUGCUGGAACAAAUUACCUGACACCAGCAAUUUGAAGGAGAGAUUUAUUUGGCUCGUGGUUCCAGUGGGUUCAGUCCAAAAUGAGCUGGUCCCAACGCAGAAAUGCAUGGUGGAAGAGACAGUGGAGUAAAGCUGCUCAGCCAUGGCAGCCAUGAAACAGGAAGAACACUUGUCUGUAUUUCCUUUGGUUAUGUGGUGGGUUGACAACUGGUGGUCAACUUAUAACACCCAGCUGAAAUGAACUAGUGCAGUGCUGGGUAUG